CCUACGGGAGGCAGCAGUGAGGAAUAUUGGUCAAUGGGCGGAAGCCUGAACCAGCCAAGUCGCGUGAGGGAAUAAGGCCCUAUGGGUCGUAAACCUCUUUUGCCGGGGAGCAAGGGCCGGGACGCGUCCCGUCCCGGAGAGUCCCCGGAGAAAAAGCAUCGGCUAACUCCGUGCCAGCAGCCGCGGUAAUCCGGGGGAUGCGAGCGUUAUCCGGCUUUAUUGGGUUUAAAGGGUGCGUAGGCGGGCUUUUAAGUCGGCGGUAAAAAUUGGGGGCUCAACCCCGUCCGGCCGUUGAAACUGGGGGCCUUGAGUGGGCGAGAGGAAGGCGGAAUGCGUGGUGUAGCGGUGAAAUGCAUAGAUAUCACGCAGAACCCCGAUUGCGAAGGCAGCCUUCCGGAGCCCUACUGACGCUGAGGCACGAAAGUGCGGGGAUCGAACAGGAUUAGAUACCCCUGUAGUC
rnacentral:rRNA from 1 species